UUUACAGUGCUGGUUGAGAUAGCAAACAAUAUUUCUAAUUGAACUACACUACAGAUUAGCAAAACAUGAUAUUGAUUUGAGCGGUAAGAAGUUUGCUGAAAGUGCUGUUCCAUUACCAAUUAAUUGCAUUAAACACCUUCCCAACAGUUUUCUUUCCUCCCCAACAUUUUAUUAUUAAAAGUUUCAAACACAGAAAAGCUGGAAGAAUUUUAUGGUAAGCACUUCCAAUAUAUACCUAGACCCUAAAAUUGUUAAUAUUUUGUUAUAUUUUGCUUUAAUACAUAUAUUCCUCUAUUAAUCCACUUACUUUUUUUGUGUAUUUCAAAUGAACUUCUUUUUGAAGAUGAAAAAGAAAAUAUUUCUAAGGUGCCAUAUACUUCCUAAUGAUCAAUUCUGCCUAGGAUUGGCUCUAUUAAUGAUUAGGCAGAUAAUAUUUAUGGUAUCUCAUGACCCCAAAUAUUUGUGAUUCCAUAUCCAAGAAAACAGAGGAGAAUUAGGCCAUGAGCCCAGGAUACUGACCUUUCUCAAGGCCAGCCUCAGGCAGAGCGAGCUGCCCAGACAGUGAGCACCAUAACCUACCUUAGUUGAAACGCCAGCCUUAGAAAAUCAUUCUUUUGAGUUAUGAUCUUUUAAAAUAAAAAUUUCUCUGGGUUGGGUGACAAUGAUGAAUCCAUUAAGCAUUUCCCCAUUAGUAUAAUUCUGUUUACCAUUUGGUUAUUUUUGUUUUUUUGGCAGAAGAAUACAGAACGGCCGAAAGGCAGUGAACAUGCUAGGAGUGGAUACUGCUAGGAAUGGAAAAAGCUAAGAAAACACAGGCUAAAAAGUUUUGGAGACAAAUUUCGCCUACUUGAAGCUGUACUCAAGACAGUGCCUAAGAAGACAACCCUUCAAGCCUCCCUUUCCUCUCCAACUCGAAGGGCAGAGAGCAUUCUGAUCUCCUGCAGAGUCUGUAAUUCACAGAGCAUCAGAGGAGACAGGUUUUCAAAGGCACAGGCAAUUAACGACGCUGUUUGAGGCUAACUUCCCAGGCAAUUUAGGCAAACAAGGUUUUAGCCUAAAUUUUCCAGUGGAACUUACUUUCAACAAGAAGGCCAGUUUUUUCUUCUGUUCCUCCAGACUCACGCUGGCUGAUUUCCAUUUCUCUUGGAU